ACGGAGGGUGCAAGCGUUAUCCGGAUUCACUGGGUUUAAAGGGUGCGUAGGCGGGCAGGUAAGUCAGUGGUGAAAUCCUGGAGCUCAACUCCAGAACUGCCAUUGAUACUAUCUGUCUUGAAUAUUGUGGAGGUAAGCGGAAUAUGUCAUGUAGCGGUGAAAUGCUUAGAUAUGACAUAGAACACCCAUUGCGAAGGCAGCUUACUACGCAUAUAUUGACGCUGAGGCACGAAAGCGUGGGGAUCAAACAGG
rnacentral:rRNA from 1 species